AGUGAACCGGGAGGUACUACCAGGUAAGGAAGGUGCGGUGGCCCCAGCCGUGGGUGAGAGGAGCUCCGCUCUGACACCCCCGCUCCUGUAGGUCGCCGCCGUUGCUCCGCUCGCUCAGAGAGAGCAUGGCCCUGAGAGGCGUCUCUGUGCGGCUGCUGAGCCGCGGACCCGGCCUGCAUGUCCUUCGCACGUGGGUCUCGUCGGCUGCGCAGACCGAGAAAGGCGGGAGGACACAGGGCCAACUGGCCAAGUGUAAGGACCUCUGGUCGCGCCGUGUGUCUGCUGCCCCUGUUCAGCUGUCUGUCUGCUCCAGGUGGACUCUGUCCCGGAAUCCGAGGGCUGCCCGGGCGGGGUGGCAGGGUCGUGGCCAGGGUCAGAGGCACUAAGGCAGUGAGUGCGCUGUGCCUGCGGGGCCGGAGAAAGGUCACCUGGUCAGUCUCGCUUGCAGCUCGCAGUAGCCGGGGGGCGACAUGGGUGUUGGGGGGGCAGGGCUGAUGAGGGUCUGAGAAGAGAGGGCACAGGGAUCUUGCGGACUGGACCGAGGCGAAUUCCCCUUCCCAGCCUCGCGUCCCCAGUUUGACUGGCAGGACCCGCUGGUGCUGGAGGAGCAGCUGACCACAGAUGAGAUCCUCAUCAGGGACACCUUCCGCACCUACUGCCAGGAGAAACUCAUGCCUCGCAUCCUGUUGGCCAAUCGCAACGAAGUUUUUCAUCGGGAGAUCAUUUCGGAGAUGGGGGAGUUGGGUGUGCUGGGCCCCACCAUCAAAGGAUAUGGCUGUGCUGGGGUUUCGUCUGUGGCGUAUGGGCUCCUGGCCCGAGAGCUGGAGCGGGUGGACAGUGGCUACAGGUCGGCGAUGAGUGUCCAGUCCUCCCUCGUCAUGCACCCUAUCUAUGCCUAUGGCAGCGAGGAACAGCGGCAGAAGUACCUGCCCCGGCUGGGUGAGUGGCUGCCCAUGGGGCCUGGUGGAAGGAAGACAGUCUCUGAGGUCUGGAACUCAAGGGUGGGGCUGUCCCCUGAGCCUAUUCUGUCCCUAUCUCAAAGAUAGCAUAAGUGGCCACCCCCUGCCAGACCCUGGGCUUCACCUGGAGAUCUGAUCCCUGGCCAGCGUGAUUGU
rnacentral:sRNA from 1 species